CAGACUUCUGAUCAGAGAAGACUACCC
rnacentral:rRNA from 1 species